UCAGAUUGAACGCUGGCGGCAGGCCUAACACAUGCAAGUCGAGCGGAAACGAUGGAUGCUUGCACUCCAGGCGUCGAGCGGCGGACGGGUGAGUAAUACUUGGGAAUCUGCCUGAGGGCGGGGGACAACCACUGGAAACGGUGGCUAAUACCGCAUAAUGUCUACGGACCAAAGCGUGGGACCUACGGGCCACACGCCUUCAGAUGAGCCCAAGCGAGAUUAGGUAGUUGGUGGGGUAAAGGCCUACCAAGCCGACGAUCUCUAGCUGGUUUGAGAGGAUGAUCAGCCACACUGGGACUGAGACACGGCCCAGACUCCUACGGGAGGCAGCAGUGGGGAAUAUUGGACAAUGGGGGCAACCCUGAUCCAGCCAUGCCGCGUGUGUGAAGAAGGCCUUCGGGUUGUAAAGCACUUUCAGUGGUGAGGAAGGUGGUGUCGUUAAUAGCGGCAUCAAUUGACGUUAGCCACAGAAGAAGCACCGGCUAACUCCGUGCCAGCAGCCGCGGUAAUACGGAGGGUGCGAGCGUUAAUCGGAAUUACUGGGCGUAAAGCGCACGUUGGCGGUAUGUUAAGCAAGAUGUGAAAGCCCAGAGCUCAACUCUGGAAUAGCAUUUUGAACUGGCAUGCUAGAGUUUUGGAGAGGGUGGUAGAAUUUCCAGUGUAG
rnacentral:rRNA from 1 species